rnacentral:tRNA from 1 species
ACUAAUAUAGUAUAAAUUAAUACAAUUAACUUCCAAUUAAUAAAUUUAUUUUAAAAAAUAAUAUUAGUA